rnacentral:rRNA from 1 species
GACGUAGGAGGCGAGCGUUGUCCGGAUUCAUUGGGCGUAAAGAGCGCGCGGGCGGCUUGGUAAGUCGGAUGUGAAAUCCCGAGGCUCAACCUCGGGUCUGCAUCCGAUACUGCCCGGCUAGAGGUAGGUAGGGGAGAUCGGAAUUCCUGGUGUAGCGGUGAAAUGCGCAGAUAUCAGGAGGAACACCGGUGGCGAAGGCGGAUCUCUGGGCCUUACCUGACGCUCAGGCGCGAAAGCUAGGGGAGCGAACUGG